rnacentral:lncRNA from 1 species
UGAAAACAGUAGUGCCUUGAUGAUAUGAUCAGUCAGUGAUCCCAUGCCACAUUGGUCAUGGGAGAAAAAAAUCAAAUUUGUAAUUAAUUGCAGGGGUGGGAUCAUCUCUCCCAGCUAGUGGCCGGUUACAAAUUUGUGGGCAGAUGUUUUAAUUGCUGUUGUUAAAAUGACACCCCUACUCUCUGCAUGCCCUCUUUGCCAUUCCGUAAUUUAGAGGGAAAUAAAGAUGGGCAAAGAAAUACCAGGAUAGUGCUGGUAAUGGAGGAAAAGGGAGGUCAUAGUUUCAACAAAAAACAGUCUACAGAGGCAGGAUAGCAUGAUGGAGCAGAGUGUCCAGAGUCUGGUUCAAAUCCUGAAUUGCUUUAUAAACUCAGAGACCUUUCCUUUUCCUUUUCCUUUUCCUUUUCUCUUUCCUUUUCCCUUUCCCUUCUCUUUUUCUUUUCAUUUUCCUUACUGGGUCUGGCUCUGUUGCCCAGGCUGGAGGGCAGUGGUGUGAACAAGGCUCACUGCAGUCUCGACCUCCUGGGCUCAAGCAGUCCUCCCACCUCAGCCUCCCAAGUAGCUUGGACUGCAGGAGCAUACCACCACGCGUGACUAACUUUUGUAUUUUGUGUAGAGAUGAGGUUUUUGUCAUGUUGUCCAGACUGUUCUUGAACUUCUGAGCUCAAGUGAUCUGCAUGCCUCAGCUUCCCAAAGUGCUGAGAUUACAGGUGUGAGGCACUGCAUCCGGCCUCCAGAGCUGUUUUCUAAAGGUUACAAGUCUUCUAGGCGUUUGAGCUGAAAACAUUUGGAUAGCUGGGGUUUAAAUGUUGCCCUAAGCUGCUUUGAAUCAUAAAGAAGAAUGAGCAGAACACUGUUCUGAGUAAUGCAGGUCUCUUUAUUUGAUAAUUAAAUAACUUGGUUUAUUAUUUUUAGGUUUUUUUUUUUAAUUAACCUCUCAAGCUUUUAUUUAAAUGCCAUGACCCAGGAUGGAUUUUAGAUUUUGUUGAAAGCAGCCACAUCCAUGGACUGCACAUAGUCUUCAAAAGCAGUGAUCUGCUUCUCCAGCUUAUCUGUUCCAACUUUAUCAUCUUCAACUUCACAACGUAUUUGAAGUUUCUUAAUUCUGUAUCCCACUUGAACUAGUUUAGAUGAGCCCCAGACUAAGCCAUCUGCUUGAAUGCCUCUGAUGCACUCCUCUAAUUUUGCCAUAUCUGUCUUAUCAUCCCAAGGUUUCACAUCUAUAAGAUGGAAGACUUGGCAACGAGUGCAGGUUUUUUGGCUUUCUUCGAUUCAUAUUGUGGAAGGUGUUCUUCCCUUAGCCUCUUCGUUUCUUCACUUUUCUCCUCCCAUCAGCUCCAAAGAGAUCAAUGUCAUCAUCAUCUUUACUAUCUUUAGCUCCUCUUCCUAUAGUGUCUUCCAUAUCCACAGGACCAUACUUGACCAAAGCCUUCUUCACUCCUGGAAGGCUGGCCUUUUCUUUUUCGUAAGACUUGAUGUGAUUAUACCAACGAAGGGCAUAACACAAGUCAGCAGGCGGUGGGCCAGAUGCUGCUUCAAAUACUGCCACAUCUGCUUGUGAUGGCACAUACCCCUCGAUGUAGCUCUUGUCCGCCAGGUAAUUGUUGAGCACCUGGAGGCCGGCAGGGCUUUUCAGGUCUCUGAAAUCCAUGGCAUCAGCUGUACCUGAGAGCUGAGGAGCAGCAGAAAGAGCUCAAGUUGUGGGCACCCUGUGCUGAAAGAGGAAAAAAAUAUUCUUAGGUUUUUAAGAGUUCUUCAGAAAUCUUUACUUUAGGGGCCGGGUGCAGUGGCUCACGCCUGUAGUCCCAGCACUUUGGGAGGCCGAGGCAGGUGGAUCAUUUAAGGUUGGGAGUUCGAGACCAGCCUGGCCAACAUGGUGAAACCCCGUCUCUACUGAAAAUACAACAAUUAGCUGGGUGUGGUGGUGCAUGCAUGUAAUCCCAGCCACUCAGGAGGCUGAGGCAGGACAAUCACUUGAACCUGGGAGACGAAGGUUGCAGUGAGCCAAGAUCAUGCCACUGCACUCCAGCCUGGGCAGUAGAGCGAGACUCAGUCUUAAAAAAAAAAAAGGCCGGGCGCGGUGGCUCACGCCUGUAAUCCCAGCACUUUGGGAGGCCGAGGCGGGCGGAUCACGAGGUCAGGAGAUCGAGACCAUCCCGGCUAAAAUGGUGAAACCCCGUCUCUACUAAAAAUACAAAAAAUUAGCCGGGCGUAGUGGCGGGCGCCUGUAGUCCCAGCUACUUGGGAGGCUGAGGCAGGAGAAUGGCGUGAACCCGGGAGGCGGAGCUUGCAGUGAGCCGAGAUCCCGCCACUGCACUCCAGCCUGGGCGACAGAGCGAGACUCCGUCUC